rnacentral:misc_RNA from 1 species
AUGUAUGUGUGGCACGGGUUGCGCUAUCUGUUUCUCGUUGUUUCGGUGCUGCGUGAGUCGUGGCGUUGCUUGAUGUUUGUUCAGAAGUGAUUUUUAGAAUUUUCCGGAUUCGAAAUGACCAAUCCUGGCGACGCCCAGCAGGGGCGAAGUGUUGUGACACGCUGGCGUAUGCUCGCGGAGCGAAGGCUCAAUUAUCUGGUCGAACUUUAUGAAACCGGGCGCUGGAAGGCCUAUUACAGCGAGACCGAGUUUCUGAAAGUCGUUCAGGAGGCCCGUGCGGCGCUGAAAACGUGGGAGCAGCUUGCGCCUCUCGAUCCUGUU